GUCACCGUGGGCGUAUCUACUGACUGAAGUUCACUUCUCACUGUCAUUAUUCUUUAUUCUGUCCCUCUCAGGUCUUCACCUCAUUAUCGUUUUAAUAAAUUAUUGAACAAAAAUAACAACAGAAAACUUAUUCAUCCAAGUUAUUAUUAUUUUUUAAAGUUUUAAAUCAAAUAAUAUUUUUUCCCACACUCAGUACCUGAAUCAUUUUUUAUUUCUUCAUACGUUUCCCUGCAUAUUUUUUCUGUCAUUUGCAGACAGAUUGAUUUAAUACAGUUUAAUUAAUGUUUAUUCCCGACAAGCGCGUAAUGUUUACCGAUUAAACCAUAUAAUGUUUACCGAUUAAACCAUAUAAGGAGUUCCGCCUAGCGACAAGACAACUAAUGCUCUGAUUGGUGGAUUCCAAAAUUGGAUCUUGUGGCUUCGAUUGUUUGUCACCUCAGGUCACGUUUUUCUUCGUGUUCUACGUGCGAUGAACAUGAGACAAGGACAUGUGGAAAUAUGAAGAAACGACCCGUCUAUAUAUCGAAAGGCCUUAGAAUGAGUGUCUGAUCAUUGCAACACUAUCCUGGAUAUGCCGGUGGGAAUCUUAUUCGAGGACACUGAUCUUUAGACCCCCAUCUCCUUGGAUUUGACUUCCUCGAUUGAAAUAAUUCUUGAAGGUUAAGUAGUGAUCGCUUGCCACCACGUUUGAUUUCAUGCAGCGUGUACUGAUGUCAAUGGGACGGAAUGAUCUCCAGCGUAGAGUGCAGUCUCUCUCAAACCAGAUCUUCGUUUAAGAACCGUCACUGUGAGACACCACUCUUAGAUUUGGGUAUUUAUUCCCCAUUAUUUACACAUUAUCUAGGGAAAAAAAGUUCUACAGUCUGUGCAGUAGUUAAUUUGGGGUGUUGUUCUGCUUCUGUAUUGUGGUUGUGACCCAGUAAUAUUUCCAUUACAGUAUAGACUGUACUGUAAUACACCGACUCUAAGGGGCUUUUUACACCUGGUCACUUCCUGCAUUUUCUGUGAUCUGAUGGUAAAAAGACCAGGUCUAAAUGCCCUCCGAAACGUUUUGCAUCCGAUGGUACAAACCCCUUCAGGAGUUGGUCU